GACGAACGCUGGUGGCGUGCCUAACACGUGCAAGUCGAACGGAACUCGGGACUUCGGUUCUGAGUUUAGUGGCGAACGGGUGAGUAACGCGUGAGGAACCUGCCUUCAUGGGGGACAACAGUUGGAAACGACUGCUAAUACCGCAUAAUGUAUCGAGGGGGCAUCCCCUUGAUACCAAAGCUUUAUGUGCUGAAAGAUGGCCUCGCGUCUGAUUAGAUAGUUGGUGAGGUAACGGCUCACCAAGUCUGCGAUCAGUAGCCGGUCUGAGAGGAUGAACGGCCACAUUGGGACUGAGAUACGGCCCAGACUCCUACGGGAGGCAGCAGUGGGGAAUAUUGGGCAAUGGGGGAAACCCUGACCCAGCAACGCCGCGUGAAGGAAGAAGGCCUUCGGGUUGUAAACUUCUUUUAGCAGGGACGAAGAACGUGACGGUACCUGCAGAAAAAGCAACGGCUAACUACGUG
rnacentral:rRNA from 1 species